rnacentral:rRNA from 1 species
GAUGAACGCUGGCGGCGUGCUUAACACAUGCAAGUCGAGCGAAGCGCUUAAGUUUGAUUCUUCGGAUGAAGACUUUUGUGACUGAGCGGCGGACGGGUGAGUAACGCGUGGGUAACCUGCCUCAUACAGGGGGAUAACAGUUAGAAAUGACUGCUAAUACCGCAUAAGCGCACAGUGCUGCAUGGCACAGUGUGAAAAACUCCGGUGGUAUGAGAUGGACCCGCGUCUGAUUAGCUAGUUGGUGGGGUAACGGCCUACCAAGGCGACGAUCAGUAGCCGGCCUGAGAGGGUGAACGGCCACAUUGGGACUGAGACACGGCCCAA